GUGAGAUAUCAGUGUGGAAGAUAAUGUGCAACCUGCUUCAUCUAAAUAGUUUACCAACAGAAUCAUCCAUACAGAAAAUACAGAAUUCAUAGAGUUGGAUUUUCUUGGAGCUCAAGAGUUAAGUGAAUAAUUCUACGGAAGCCGGCUGAAAGGCAGAGAAUCCAUGUGAUGGCUUUUACUGCACCAUAUUCUGGU
rnacentral:lncRNA from 1 species